UCACGUACAGGUGGUAGAAAAAAAAAUCCAUCUUCUUCCUCCUGGUUCGUACGCUGUGCCGCCUAUGGUCCUCCGCCCGUCAAUCCUCCUCACCUGCGCCGCCACUCUUCCUCCGCCUUCGCUUCCUACUCCCACUCCCUGGUCAGCGGUGAUGCCAAGUUUGAUUUCCUUGCAGGCCGUCGAGUGGGUUCCCUCAACACGAGUCUAUCAUCGGAAUCGGAAGAAUGGUUACCAGGCCCAUCAUCGGAAUCACAAGAACGGUUCUCCUUCCCGUUCGAGUACAGGCCCAUGACCGGAAUCUGAAGAACGGUUCUCCUUCAAGACGUGUUAACUGUCUCUGACGGCGUCGUAAUGAUGGCUUCAUGGUGGGAUUGUCAUCUUCGUUUCUUCCAGAUUAUUAUUCACGGAUUUCUCAGAGCAACUGUGUGACCUUCAUUAUUUGACAAUGGCUGUUGGACAGGUACACUUGUAGCACUGUUUUUACAUUAUUUAUUAUUUAUUUCUCAAAUUAAAUUAGCUUCAUACUAUUUAGUUUUUUAGUUUUAGCAAAUAUUUACAUCUACUGGAUCUUUAUAUGUACCCGACCUACCUUUUCCUCUAUGUGAUUCGUAAACAUGUAUAUCAUGAUUAAAUGAACAUCAGGGAUUUGUAUUUACAAACUGCUCAGAGGGAUUGUAUAACCUAUUGACCUUCAUCUGCAAACAUGGUUAAUGGACAGGUACAUCCGUUUAUGCAAUUGUGGCCCUUCUAACUCAUAUGUUGCUUAAUCUGUUGUUUCCUUCAAAUUUGUUCUGCAGUGGGUGGAACUUGUUCAAUUUCUUAUCAUUUGCCCGCUGCCUUUCCUUUUCCCAUGACAUGUAUUAAUCUGCUGCCUUUCCUUUUCAGUAUUUCAUAACCAUUGUAUAUCACGGGAUAUACGUCAGUAGUACUAAUGUUUGUUGCACGUUCCAUGCUGAUAUUACUAAUAAUUAACACAUGCUAAUUACAGGCUGAUUUUGUUUAUCUGUCGGAUCUGAAUCCAAGCAAAAGUUGUGUGGCACAGUAUGUGGACGCAUGGCUCAUGUAUUUGUGUCAGCCUAUUUUAUGUUUUCCCACGGUUUAUCUUUGAGUUAUGUCAAGUAUUUCUCAACGUAAUUGCUUAUAGUGACACCCCAUUAGUACAGAAGGUAUCCUGAUGUCUUUUCUGAAUGAGCCACGUACACCUUCUGUAGAAAAGAACAAUUUGGAUUAAUAUCUCUCAAAUUGAGAAAAUCGUAUGGUUGGAGGAUUUCAAUCAUUACAGGUUUAGUACAUGGAACUGCAUAGGGACAAUCAUCUUAGAAAAUUGGAUAACUGCAAACCCAUCAGUCCAGUCCGUAUAAUGUGUUUUAUUUCACACUACAAAGUGAUCUAAACCCCAAGUUAAUAAAAAGAGUUCCAUCAUUCAUCCAGUAUAUAUCCUUGCCUUGAGCAUUAAAGUAAGUUAAUCCAAUGUUAUCCUUGCCUUCAACACUAAAGUUAGUAUAUAUAAUUAAAGUAAAUACGAACUGUCUUCUCUUACCUCUGGAAUAAUAUGCACUAUUGAUUCUGAUACUAUGCAAAGUAUGUGUGUUGCUGAAAUUAUCGUUGCUGGUAAAGCCUGUCGUAUAACUGUGUGCACUUCACUUUUUUUGGCCAGACUUAAAUUUUCUUCUAAAAGAUAUCUGUUAUUCUUCACAUACAUCUAUGCAUGUGCUUACAUACUCAAAUCAAUAGAGCUAUGUGUUCAUUACUAAAACUUUAUGCAGGGGAACAAAAUGUAUGCAGAGGUAUGAAUGGAUCAUGCAGACAAGUUCAGAUCCCAGCUUCAGGGAGGAAGGUUAUGCCUUGUUCGAGAUUUCUUUGUGCAAUCAGCAAAAAACAUAUUUAGUGUUGUGUAUGUAAGGUUUAUGCUGAUCAGGUCCAGCCUAAGGUACUGGAAUAUUUCCCAAGAUAUACUUAUUCUAUAACUGGAUUUCAGCAGGAACAGUGUUUGGUUGCGAGUCGCAGUACGAGUGAGAUUCAAAUUUACUUUCCUAUGACUUUCUCAGCUAUAUUUGCAAAGAAGAUAAAAAUUUUAGUGUUAACGAAAAAGGAGUACAUUAUGAUGACCUAUCUUUCUAGGUGCAAUUUCUUAUACUGGUGUGAUAUUGAUUUCAUGAGUCUUAAUCUCGUUAAAAUUUGAAAUCUCCAUUCUCCAAUAAGAUUUCUUACUCAAACUAAGCAGCUCAUGUUAGAAGGACGUCCACCGGGUGUUACUAGCAACAACAAUUUGACUGAAUCUGAAGAUGGCCAGUACUCCAACUCCAUUGGAACUAAAGAAAUGAAAUUGCACUCCCUUCCUACCACAGCAGAGGUGCCUCCUCCUCUAUCCAUGCAAGGUCCCUGGUUGAACAGUCCCCAAAAGUCUGUGAAGACGUUGUGUCUCCAAAGAAAGAAGAAUGGAACGACAAGUUCAAUUGCUACCACCUUUUGAGUGGCAUUAUUUUGUUUAAGUUCGCAUAUUUUUUCAUGUACCAAUUUGGCAAUUUACAUUGUUACUAUAGUGCAGCAACAGACCGACCAUCUAGCCAAAAGAAACUGCUCAUGAGUGCCUCAUGAGACAUUGCUUCAUGAAGUUCUUGUUUUACUAGGAUGGGAAGAACCUAUCAUGCGCCUUCAUCUACCAAUAAUUACGUUUUCCCUAGAUUAGCAAAUUUAUAUUGUCAUGUAUCGUGCAGUUAUGCAUGCCUAAUGCCUACAUACACCGUACACAAACUGUAUAUUUGAGAGUUUGAUUAAAUAUCA